AUGGUCAAGCGCAGCAGGGCAUACGGGGGAUGCCUAGGCGCUCGCGGGCGAGGAAGGGCGUAGUACGCUGCGAAAAGC
rnacentral:rRNA from 1 species